rnacentral:rRNA from 1 species
UUGCUUUCUUUGCUGGCGACCGGCGCACGGGUGAGUAACACGUAUCCAACCUGCCCUUUACUCGGGGAUAGCCUUUUGAAAGAAAGAUUAAUACCCGAUAGCAUAAUGAUUCCGCAUGGUUUCAUUAUUAAAGGAUUCCGGUAAAGGAUGGGGAUGCGUUCCAUUAGGUUGUUGGUGGGGUAACGGCCCACCAAGCCUUCGAUGGAUAGGGGUUCUGAGAGGAAGGUCCCCCACAUUGGAACUGAGACACGGUCCAAACUCCUACGGGAGGCAGCAGUGAGGAAUAUUGGUCAAUGGGCGCUAGCCUGAACCAGCCAAGUAGCGUGAAGGAUGAAGGCUCUAUGGGUCGUAAACUUCUUUUAUAUAAGAAUAAAGUGCAGUAUGUAUACUGUUUUGUAUGUAUUAUAUGAAUAAGGAUCGGCUAACUCCGUGCCAGCAGCCGCGGUAAUACGGAGGAUCCGAGCGUUAUCCGGAUUUAUUGGGUUUAAAGGGAGCGUAGGUGGACUGGUAAGUCAGUUGUGAAAGUUUGCGGCUCAACCGUAAAAUUGCAGUUGAUACUGUCAGUCUUGAGUACAGUAGAGGUGGGCGGAAUUCGUGGUGUAGCGGUGAAAUGCUUAGAUAUCACGAAGAA